GACGAACGCUGGCGGCGUGCUUAACACAUGCAAGUCGAACGGAAAGGCCCUGCUUUUGUGGGGUGCUCGAGUGGCGAACGGGUGAGUAACACGUGAGUAACCUGCCCUUGACUUUGGGAUAACUUCAGGAAACUGGGGCUAAUACCGGAUAGGAUCUCCUGCUGCAUGGUGGGGGUUGGAAAGUUUCGGCGGUUGGGGAUGGACUCGCGGCUUAUCAGCUUGUUGGUGGGGUAGUGGCUUACCAAGGCUUUGACGGGUAGCCGGCCUGAGAGGGUGACCGGCCACAUUGGGACUGAGAUACGGCACAGACUCCUACGGGAGGCAGCAGUGGGGAAUAUUGCACAAUGGGCGGAAGCCUGAUGCAGAAACGCCGCGUGCGGGAUGACGGCCUUCGGGUUGUAAACCGCUUUCGCCUGUGACGAAGCGUGAGUGACGGUAAUGGGUAAAGAAGCACCGGCUAACUACGUG
rnacentral:rRNA from 1 species